rnacentral:rRNA from 1 species
GACGAACCGUGCGAACGUUGUUCGGAAUCACUGGGCUUAAAGGGCGCGUAGGCGGCUUGUCAAGUCAGGGGUGAAAUCCUGCAGCUUAACUGUAGAAGUGCCUUUGAUACUGAUGAGCUCGAGGGAGGUAGGGGUCGCUGGAACUUCUGGUGGAGCGGUGAAAUGCGUUGAUAUCAGAAGGAACGCCGGUGGCGAAAGCGAGCGACUGGAUCUCUACUGACGCUGAGGCGCGAAAGCUAGGGGAGCAAACGGG